rnacentral:rRNA from 1 species
AGAGUUUGAUCAUGGCUCAGAGUGAACGCUGGCGGUAGGCCUAACACAUGCAAGUCGAACGGUAGCACAGAGGAGCUUGCUCCUUGGGUGACGAGUGGCGGACGGGUGAGGAAUGCAUCGGAAUCUACUCUUUCGUGGGGGAUAACGUAGGGAAACUUACGCUAAUACCGCAUACGACCUCCGGGUGAAAGCAGGGGACCUUUUAGGCCUUGCGCGAUUGAAUGAGCCGAUGUCCGAUUAGCUGGUUGGCGGGGUAAUGGCCCACCAAGGCGACGAUCGGUAGCUGGUCUGAGAGGAUGAUCAGCCACACUGGAACUGAGACACGGUCCAGACUCCUACGGGAGGCAGCAGUGGGGAAUAUUGGACAAUGGGCGCAAGCCUGAUCCAGCCAUACCGCGUGGGUGAAGAAGGCCUUCGGGUUGUAAAGCCCUUUUGUUGGGAAAGAAAAGCAGCCGGCUAAUACCCGGUUGUUCUGACGGUACCCAAAGAAUAAGCACCGGCUAACUUCGUGCCAGCCGCCGCGGUAAUAC